AGAAAUAUUCCUGACAAAAGAAUUACUUUGCUAGAGUAAAUAACAGAGGUUUACAUCCUCUUAUUUCUA
rfam:Mesocricetus auratus contig209024, whole genome shotgun sequence.